CAUGAUGGUUAUGUUUUCAGACUGCUGAUUGGAGCUCCUCGUGCUAAAGCAUUGCCAGUUCAAAACGCCAAUAUAUCUGGUGGUCUGUACAGGUGUAAAUUCACAACUCAACCUGAUGACUGUGAACGCAUCCCCGUUGAUAUAAAAGCUCGAUCUAAAGAUCAUCCAGGAGUGGACUAUAGAGAAAACCAAUGGCUAGGUGUUAGUGUUCAAAGUCAGGGACGAGGAGGCAAAGUAGUGACCUGUGCACACAGAUACCAGGAUUGGAGCUUCACUAAUCAGCGGUUAUUGGGCAGAUGCUUUGUCCUGGGACAGGACCUUGUAUUGGGGACGGAUGGAGCAGAUACGAGAUCAUUUUGUAGGACUCGGGAGACAGAUAAACACAACUUUGGGUACUGUCAACAGGGUCUCUCUGUAGCUUUUUCCAAAGACAGCAAAUAUCUUGUUUAUGGAGCUCCAGGAGCAUAUGACUGGAAAGGCAUUGUGCACAUGGAGCCUGUUGAGGACUUCUCUCUGGAGAUCUAUGAAACAGCAGAUGAACACGAACUCAAUCCUGUGGACAUCAGCAGCUU